UACAGAGGUCUCAAGCGUUGUUCGGAUUCAUUGGGCGUAAAGGGUGCGUAGGUGGCGCGCUAAGUCAGGUGUGAAAUUUCGGAGCUUAACUCCGAAACUGCAUUCGAUACUGCCGUGCUUGAGGACUGGAGAGGAGACUGGAAUUUACGGUGUAGCGGUGAAAUGCGCAGAUAUCGGGAGGAACACCAGUGGCGAAGGCGGCUAACUGGUCCAGCACUGACGCUGAGGUGCGAAAGCGUGGGGAGCAAACAGGG
rnacentral:rRNA from 1 species